CCGUUCUUGUGUUAUUUGCUGAAUUUAGUUUAUCAUUCAGUGAUUGUCAAACAGAACGCACAACAAACUCCAAGCCAGUUAACUCCACAUUGUUGAACCUAUCAAAACCAAGGUGUCUACAUAACUAUCCUCGGGCUACAUUG
rfam:Drosophila grimshawi strain TSC#15287-2541.00 scaffold_14906 genomic scaffold, whole genome shotgun sequence.